UGCGCCUAUAGCUCAGCUGGAUAGAGCGUCGGACUACGAAUCCGAAGGUCGCAGGUUCGAAUCCUGCUGGGCGCAU
rnacentral:tRNA from 1 species